CAUGCAUGCCUGGUACCCAGGGAUAUCAAAAGAGGAUGUUGGACACUCUGGAACUGGAGUUAUAGCCAGUUGUGAGCCGCCAUGCAGCUGCUGGAAACCAAAUCCAGGUCCUCUGCAAGACCAGCAAAUGUUCUUAACCACUAAGGCAUCUCUCCAGCCCCUACUAUAUAAUUUUUAUACAUUCUUUUAUUUGAAAAGAAUGUUACCCAAACAUAGGAAGCUAUUUGUUGUUUCAAUAUGCUGUAUCAUCUUUUUUUCUUUAAAGAUUUUAUUUAUUUAUUAUGUACACAACAUUCUGCUUCCAUGUAUAUCUGCACACCAGAAGAGGGCACCAGCUCUCAUAAUGGAUGGUUGUGAGCCACCAUGUGGUUGCUUGGAAUUGAACUCAGGACUCCUGGAAGAGUAGUCAGUGCUCUUAACCUCUCCAGCCCCCUGCUGUAUCAUCUUAAGUCUUUUCUUGGACACCUACCGAGGACUCAUCGGCACACCAAUGUACUUGAAAGGAGGUUUGGGGAUUCAAUCAGUUCCGAAGUCCUGGGUUCAGUUUAGUCCCACACUAAGAGAAAAAUAAAAAUUAAGAAGCAAAAAUGCAUAAUGUUUUCCCCCAUAAGCAGAACACAGGAAUAUCCACAGCUACUACCAAGUAUGAAUCAUUUUAUCCACUUCCGCUAGCCCAGAAAGAUCAUCCUAUCUCUUCCUUAGUAUCAGGAGACCGAGAGUUAUGUCCUGGCUCUCUGCCUGCGGUCAUAAGUUGAUUUUAUCCAGAAAACUUUAAAAGCUUUUGCUUUGUUUUGAAACCAUAACAACGGAGACAGUGUGAUCUUUGCAAAGAUUUGGAGCUUAAAGAACCUUGAAGAUAAUUUUAGUCCAGAUAGAGAACUUAGGAGGGCAAGAAGAGAAGGGUUUGUUUUUGUUUUCUCUUUUUCUACUGCAUUUUGAUGGGACUACAAAAUACUAGUCUAGGUCCUUGGAGUCAGAGAACAAUGAAAAGGAAGUUAAGGCCUACCAGGCUGUGAGUUGAGCCAACCGUGAGUCUGACAGUUGCUGUCAGUGGUCCUGAUCCUGCCCAGCCAAUGAGGGGUGACUACCCGAUCCUGCGUGAGGCCCUAGCAACAGGAGCUGUCAUCGGUCCUGAUUGUGCCUAGCCAAUGAAGGGCGACUAGGAAAUGCCAAUGGAUCAGAACAUCUGGGUGCAGGGAGAGUAUAUAAGUUU
rnacentral:lncRNA from 1 species